UGAUGGCAAAGCCUUCCUUUGCCGUCCGCUGGCUGACGGCAAAUCUGCUGAUUCCAGUAGUGUAUAUAUAUGCAAAAUCAUGUGAAUGUAUGUAUCUCAUAAGUAAAUCCAAUCAAGAUUUAUUGAAUUUUCGGAUGGUUUCCAUGUGGAAGUUACAACAAUUUACAAGUCUCAGGAACAGCUUGUCAUGUUUAAACUAAAUGUUAGCUAUUUUUAUCCUCUUCUGUGGCAAUACUAUCUGGUAAAAAAAAAGUACAAGAUACAAGAUAUUUUCCUAUCUUAUUCUCUUCUUUCUGUGUGAAAUACUAAUUUCGUAUUAUUAUUUGCAGGCUCAGAAGCAUUAAUGUGGCAAUGUGACCCUAAUAGUGAUUGUUGUGAGUAGAGAAGGUCCUUUUAGAUUUAAUUAUGCACUAGGGAAAAUAGAAACAACUUAGAAAUCUUUGUUUAGUACCAUACCAUAAACCUCACUGAUAUUGAAUUAGUAAGGUGCACUAGCUACUGGCUACAUUACUUGAUCUAUCUAAUAUACAACCUAUACUUUGUGUUCCACUUCAUUUCCCCAUCUUUUGACCACACAGUUCGGUAGAAAUUCCUUUUGGGUGUUUCCUGCCAAACUGACAAAAUAAAAUUCAAGCUUAGGAUUGUACUUACACAUGUAGCAACAUUUGUAAAUUCAAAAAACGGAAGCAAAAUCCACCUGCUGAUUCGGGGAACAAAAUGCACCUACUGACAUGUAAUUAAUUUUUGUGGUAACUUGCAGUUCAGGAGGGCCACCGCUCCCAACGAGGGUCACCGCAAGGUAAAGUCGUGUCCCUGUUCCAUCAAGUUCAGCCCAGUCCAUAUUCUUCAAACCAAUUUGGCAUGGUUCAUUGGUCGCAUGGUGUUCUUGUAAUCUGAUAAUUGGGUGUCAUGCGCUAAUUACUAUUGUCAAGUAUAAGAUUUUUCUGUUACGGUAGCCCGCUUUCGCUUCCAUGACACGUUUUAGUCAUGUAUGAUGUAUCCACUGUUGCAACGCACGGGAAAUCUUAGGUUGUGUUUUUUUUUUGAAAUUUAUUCUUCAGCUAGGAUCUCGCAGAUACGGGUUCUGGUCGUCCAAGUACAAGUGCAUGCGUGAUUACUUAGUACAUGUUGAGGAUUGAUAUUUUAUCUGAGUAUGACCAUUUCUGGGAAUGUGUCUUCACCUACCGGCUCACUUCCUCCAAUCUCACUUCCGAGGUUAAUUUUCGACUCGCUGACCAGGGCAUUUUCUAGGCAUUUCUAUGUACUCCUAAUUGCUUAGUUAAGUCAUUGUUUGGUCUCCUAAUUUCUUUGUAUAUGUAUCUGAAGGAGUUCCUGGAAUCCUGUUAGGCGAUCCUUCAAGGUUGCGUCAGAUAAUUACAAACUUUUCGGGGGAAGUCCAUUAAGUUCAAAGAAAGGGGACAUAUUUUUUCCAUGUUCACCUGGUAGACCACUUAAAUCUAGCAACCGGAGCGACAGUUUAAUCAUCUCGGAAUUGCAUAAAUGGACAUAAAGGUGAGAAAAGUGUUGUAUCAUCAAGUGUGUCUCAAUAGACUAAGUGGUUUUGAGGCUGAUGAGAAUAUAAAUACAUGGGGAAAUUUUAAGCUCUUGCUUUCUUACGAGAGAAAUGAUAUUCCGUAUGGAAGUGAUUUUGAGAAAUGCAGGGCCAUGCAGUCCUGCAGUGGUGGGUGGAGCCUCGGAUGCGGAGGAGUGCAAGGGCAACACUGUCCUCGAAGAAGAACCGGAGGGUGGCGGAGUAGCAGCACUACACAUCGUCCUCUGCCGAACCGGCCUCCAUGAUGUCGCUGCUGCAGCCCCAGCAUCAUGGUACACACGCUACUCGAUCUCGCUAAUCCGUCUCCAUCUUGAUUGGGAUUGCGCUGAUUUGGGGGUGCGUGCCGAGAGGGAUCCUUACCGUGCGUUUGUGUAGAUUAAUUUCUUUCAUAGCUCCUUGCCUCUCGUUUGUGGUAUUGGCGGUUGUAGGGCCCUCGUCUUGGUGAAAGAAAAGGAGCUUGCUUUGUUGAUUUUGUGCACGAUGUACAUUCUGUCAUGUAUUAGUUGAUAAGUUACUUCUCUUUGUAGAGUAACGAUUAAUGAUUGAAUCUAUGCGUCACCUUCCUUGA